UGGGGAAUAUUGCACAAUGGGCGCAAGCCUGAUGCAGCCAUGCCGCGUGUGUGAAGAAGGCCUUCGGGUUGUAAAGCACUUUCAGCGAGGAGGAAGGUGGUGAGCUUAAUACGCUCAUCAAUUGACGUUACUCGCAGAAGAAGCACCGGCUAACUCCGUGCCAGCAGCCGCGGUAAUACGGAGGGUGCAAGCGUUAAUCGGAAUUACUGGGCGUAAAGCGCACGCAGGCGGUUUGUUAAGUCAGAUGUGAAAUCCCCGGGCUCAACCUGGGAACUGCAUUUGAAACUGGCAAGCUAGAGUCUCGUAGAGGGGGGUAGAAUUCCAGGUGUAGCGGUGAAAUGCGUAGAGAUCUGGAGGAAUACCGGUGGCGAAGGCGGCCCCCUGGACGAAGACUGACGCUCAGGUGCGAAAAGCGUGGGGCAGCAAACAGGAUUAGAUACCCUGGUAGUCCACGCUGUAAAACGAUGUCGAUUUUGGAGGUUGUGCCCCUUGAGGCGUGGNUUCCGGAGCUAACGCGUUAAAUCGACCGCC
rnacentral:rRNA from 1 species